UACGAAGGGGGCUAGCGUUGUUCGGAAUCACUGGGCGUAAAGCGCACGUAGGCGGAUCUUUAAGUCAGGGGUGAAAUCCCGAGGCUCAACCUCGGAACUGCCUUUGAUACUGGGGAUCUCGAGUCCGGGAGAGGUGAGUGGAACUGCGAGUGUAGAGGUGAAAUUCGUAGAUAUCGCAAGAACACCAGUGGCGAAGGCGGCUCACUGGCCCGGUACUGACGCUGAGGUGCGAAAGCGUGGGGAGCAAACAGGG
rnacentral:rRNA from 1 species